rnacentral:misc_RNA from 1 species
CCCGACCCGCCGCCAGAGGACCAACACAUUGCGCAAAGCAACGGCAGACAGGCCCCGCGGCAGCCCCAAACAUCACCCGCCCCACACCGCACAAGCCGGCAGCGGGGGUAGCAUGGGAAACGUUGAAGCCAAGUUGAAAAUUCACCAACCAUAUGAAGGCCACAAAGGCGUUCCCCCCAGCAAAACCCCACCGCCACCAGCCCGAAAAACGCCACGGGGCCGGUGGUGUACGGGCCCCUGGCCCUUCCAAAACCGCGGGCAGCCCGCGCCCCCUGCCCCGGGCCACCGAAAAAAAAAAGGCCCAAGAAAAUAGACCCUCGGCCAAAGCCACCCCUUACAGGCCAUAGGCGCGCACAAACCCACGCGGGUGCUUGCCGAUUUCGAAGGGUCGACAAGCACAAAACGAGAAGCCGCAUAGCCGCCCACCCCGCCUGGCCUUUGCUUCGGCAGACCCCUCGGGGCCGGCACCACCACACGCGCACCCCCAGCCCCCAUGAGCCGCGCCAGGCCAGAAAGACAAGCGAAAAGAACAGCCCCGACACCCCCCAGGCGCCGCAAGGGCAUCGCCAACCCCCCCCCCGACGAAAAAUGCAAAAACAAGAAAUGCGCCACACAUCCCGCUACCGACUAUUUUUCCAUGGAAACGGGCGUGCCGCGACCGAGGCUUUCCAAAGAAAAAAAAACAGCAAUUGAAAGGAAUACCAAACGAAGCUUAGGGGAGAAUCGAAAAAGACACAUUAGCAAACAUUAAAAAAAAAACACUUUCCUUUACCGACACCCGGAUGAAACAAGGCUUCGCGCGCCCCAUCUUCCCCUGGUCGCUUAAAAAAGCCCCCCCCCUGUUUUCUGUCUUCGGAAAACCGACGCGCUGGGUGCUUUGUUUGCGACCGGCCCCCAAAAAAAACCAGACGGAGAAAGCCGGAAAAACACCAAGAGAAUUUUGCCAUUUUCGAGCCUCCAAAACAG